AACGUAGGAGACAAACGUUAUCCGGAGUUACUGGGCGUAAAGGGCGUGCAGGUGGUCUGUUAAGUCUGGCGUGAAAGCUCCUGGCUAAACCGGGAGAGGUCGUUGGAUACUGGCGGACUAGAGGACGGUAGAGGCGUGUGGAAUUCCGGGUGUAGUGGUGAAAUGCGUAGAGAUCCGGAGGAACACCGGUGGCGAAGGCGGUUCUCUGGGCCUGUACUGACGCUGAGGAGCGAAAGCUAGGGGAGCAAACGGG
rnacentral:rRNA from 1 species